rnacentral:misc_RNA from 1 species
CGCCGGACCAUGACGUUUCUACUCAAUAGGCCUUAGCUGGUGUGAGGAGCCUUUUGUAUGCAAUGUUGAAUGGGGAUUGUAUGGAACUUCAAGGAGUUGUGUAACAGGGACUUCCACAUCUUCCUGUAGGAAGGAUAGAAAUAGUGGCACAUUCAUUGUACUAGCGGCACGUAGAAAUCGGGAGACAUCCUCGCUUACAAACAAGUCGGUCUCCUAGAAAUUCCAGCACUGGAUUUGUAGUAUAGCCAUGUCAGAACUAAAGGUAUCCUCUGAAAUAUCGUUUCUGUACUGAAGGGGAUUAGUAUAGGUUUGCCUGUUAGGUAAAGUGACGGAAAAUCUUACUCUUUUUUAACACGUUGAUAUAUUUACAAUGUGUAUAUAUAUAUUUGUGUGUGGAAUGUUGACGACGCCUCUUACUUGUGAUGAUAUUUGACUGCUUUUAAAACCUCUGUGCUCCAGUGGGCAUCACGGGAGUGUGAAACCUUUUUUAAUUGGAAGGAAAGGAAAUGAAAGACAGAUUCCGGGAGGGGAUAGUAUUACAACGUUUGUAUGUGGACAUGCAUGAGGGGGACCAUCGCAUGGAUGUCACAGGUAACACCUACAACUGCCACGAUUCUUCAUCAGUCGGUGCUUCUUCUCUGAUGCCCUUACACUAUGACACUGCAUUGCAUUCAUUAUGCACCACUGCAAUGACCCAGAUUUUGAUGGAGAGAUUUUCGCACUAAUUACCGCCCUGCGGCUGAUAUCAAAUUCGGAAUAAAUCGCAAAGAUGUGGCAUUGCCCGGUGGUUCUUACCUGUACCUGGUGCCUGAUUACCAGCUAAUGGAUGUUGGCUUCCUUUGAUCAGUGAAGGAUAUUCCCAUUAAUAAUUGCACGCAUAAUUGAGAUAAAAAUCAAUGUAGCAGGUAGAUGUGUACUGUGAAAACUCUGCAACGGUUUCCAGUAAUUUCCUGGAAUGGGGUUACUUUUAUUAUAUUAUUUACAGUCUUUUUAGCUGUUUAAAUAAAACAUAUACUGUGACUUUGAGAAUAAAACAUAUCAUCUGUAUUUAAAGAAAAAAACUCAAUUUAAUGUAGAUUGUUAAUACUUCUCUACCAUUCCUGUUGGUAGGAAACUACCUAAAGUGUCAGCCAGCAGAAAAUGUCGAUAUAAACUCAUCCGAAGAAAACAUUGGUAUGAGCUCAUCUUACAGAAUAUGUUGAUGUAAAAUAAACUGAAUUCUCAGCCUGUAGAAAUAGUUAUGAGGUUUCGUUUUUGUUAGUUCACCUGGCCAAAAGGACCAAUGAGCCAAGGGUUGAAGGACGGGAUGAAGGACGACCAGGUU